CCUGGCUGCACUUCUCUUAGACCUCAUUUAAGAUCUGACUGCCACUACGGGAGGUUCUUUGGUUGGAGAUUUCUCCUUUGCGGAGUUUCUAUUGUAAGCCUGGAUCCUUGUAGAUGGAUGUUACCAGCCAUGCAACAGGAAAACAGUGAGGAGGAGAAACAGAGGGCUGAGAUGAUGGACACGUCACAGGGAGAGGGCAGGACUCGGCAGAGGCUCCUUGGGCACUGGAGCUGACAAAGAGCAGUCCCUGCCUGUAGGAGCCUGCACUCCCUGUGAUUGGAAACAGGAAACAAACCUCAGAGCUUUGUGAGGAAAUACCUUCUACCCAGGCAAUCCAGGAGACAGUUUGGGAUCAUGCUCUGGAAUUUGUCAGGGGCUGCAGGUUUUGUACUGGAAUGACAAUCAAUUCUCAUAUCUUCCCCAGUAUAUUUAAGACUUCUUCUCAAUAAAACAUUAAAUUGAGCUGUUGGAAGAAAUAAUAUGCUGAAAUUAAACUUGGUUCUAAACACAUGGAA